UGAGUAACCUGCCCUGGACUUUGGGAUAACCCUCGGAAACGGGGGCUAAUACCGGGAUAUGACGGCUCACCGCAUGGUGUGGCUGUGGAAAGUUUUCCGGUCUGGGAUGGGCUCGCGGCCUAUCAGCUUGUUGGUGGGGUGAUGGCCUACCAAGGCUACGACGGGUAGCUGGUCUGAGAGGACGACCAGCCACACUGGAACUGAGAUACGGUCCAGACUCCUACGGGAGGCA
rnacentral:rRNA from 1 species